UAGCGAAGCCGCUUAGAUACUGUAGGAUUAUGCACAUGAAGCACAGAAAUGACUUGCCAUGGAGGGCAAGUCAAGGAGAACCGCGCCACGGAGGGCGCGUUUCGACGGUUUCGUCAAGCAUAGAAGCGCAAAAAGCAUAAUCCGUACAGUAUCUUAGCGGCAAAGCGU
rfam:[Eubacterium rectale] ATCC 33656 chromosome, complete genome.